GUCAAUGCUCGCAAGAGUGAACUAGCUAACUGAAAUCACAGGAUCCACUACGUGUGGUGAAUGUAAUAACGUAAGGGAAAAAAAUGAUAUUACCUUACUAUUAGUGUUGUCCAAAACUGGUGCCAGAAGACUCGGUAAGGCCAGAGACGCAAACGUUAGUCGUCCUAAUCAGGCGUAAAGGGUAUGUAGGCUGCUUUAAAAGUUUAGUAUAAUAUUUUAAUAGCUCUGUUUAAAUGGAAAAUAAUUUUAUUUAAACAGUAAAAUAUACAAUGAAUUAAAGCUAGGAUCAAAUUGAGGAUAAUUUAAAUAAUACUUAGUGUAGGGUUUACAUCUGGUGAUACUAAGGGGAGUACUAACGGUGAAAGCUUUUUAUCUAGAAAUGAUUGACGCUGAGAAACGAAGGUGAGAAUAGGAAAUAGGAUUAGAUACCCAGAUACCUCUCACAGUCAACGAUGAAUGGUGGUUGUUAGUUAGUUUUAUUUAACUGAUAACGAUGUUAACACGAUAACCAUUCCGCCUUGCGAGUACGGUUGCAAAACUGAAACCAAAAAAAUUAGUCGGUCUCGAAGCAAACGAAGUGAAGCAUGUUAUUUA
rnacentral:rRNA from 1 species